UUUUUCUUUUUGCCUGUUUUCAGAUUAAUAACACGAGAAUAGAUAAAUUUCAGGAAAAAAAUAAAAUACGAAGGACAUAUAUUUCAGCAUGUUAGCCCAGUAAUACUAUUAUGCAGCAUCAAAAGAAUAAAACUGUGUUUCUCCAAUGCCCUGAGAAGAAUACCUUUUUAAAACCCUUUGCCUCUCAGAGAUUUAUAUUCCUGUGGGAAUGUAAUUGAUACCAAGGGCAGCAGCUUUUGAGUGCAGCUGUAGUUAUCAUUAAGAGAGAUAAGUAUUUGAAGAAAUUUUGAUACUUCAGCCGUGCUUGUGUUAAAUACAGAGCUAUGCCAAGAAAAAUACAGAUGACCAUCGAUUUGUACUUUCUGCUUCAUUUAAUAAAAAAACCCCAACCUUCUAAAAUGCAUUCUAUUUUUAAUAUGUAAGAAAUAAAAUUGUAAUAAGCUCAAAACUCAUACUCAGGUACUGUGAAUCACAAUAAUUCCCCAUGGAACAAGACAAACAUAUACAUGCCUUGUAUGCCUUUUUCUGCGUAUGCACAAGUUACUUUUCUGUCAAUCCUUCAUAAUUUAUAUGCUUAGACUACUAUGGAUGUAACAACAUUAAAAAUCACUUUAAAAUGGCUUUUACACUGGCAGCCAGAAAUUUGGAUCAAAUACAUUGAGAGAAAUGCAGAAAAGUGGGCAUUGCUGAGAUUCUAAAGUUCACAUAUUCCAAGGCAGUACCGUGUAUAUGCUAUGUUUGUAUUUAACCUGCCUUAUUUAGUAAUAUGAAAUUAUAGAAAAAUAAGAUCUUAGUAUAAAGUCUAAAAGCCUAGAAAAUUAAUGUGUAGUUUGAAGGACUGCCUUCAGCUUUCACAGAUUUCAUUGAGAACUGAAGAGUCACCGCGCUGAAGAGGGUUCUCAAUAGCAUCUGCAAGAUAUUGAGCAGGACAAAAGCAAUGUGUCUGUGUCACAUCUACAUGGUGAAACAUUAAAACAUAGCUGAAAGAAAGCUAAUGUCAUAUCGAGAGGUUCCAUGUUCACUGUAAUUCCUGAUUAAUCUAAUAUAUUUUAUUUUGUUUAUUAUUUAAGCUGUGUUUUUUCCAAAUAUCAGUCUCAGAACUUCAACAACAGGCACUUAUGUAAAAGUGGUGGGAAAUGAAGCUUUAGCAAUAUCCUUUCUCCUUUUGCCAUUCUCCCAAAGCAAAACUUGGAGACUCUCUGAAGCCAUUUGCCAGCAUUUACUAUUAAUAUACAGCCUGUCUACAUUUUUAAUUUCUUGUUUUUUUAAAAAAUUCUAUUCAACCAAUUGGUCAUAUUAAUAAAUCUGCUUUCCAGCCAUUAUUCAUCUAAGAAACAAUACCACCUAACCGUAUUGUGCUUUUCCUAUUGUGAAAUCUUGUCUUUUAAAAAAAAUUAAAUAAAUUACUAUUUUAUUUUUCUGAAGGCAGAGUGGAUUCAGACACAGUACCUGCCAAACUUGGAGAGACUUCAGACAUAGGUUCCAGUUUUUACGAGUCUCUAAGCGCUUUGGGGACCCAGAUUCAGGCAUUCUAACUUUGAACAUACUGGUAUGUUUUAGCUAUUUAAUAUUUGGGAGUCAAGAGUCAUAUUGGCAUGGAGUAAAAUACAGAAAUGCAGUCUAUAAGCCCAUGAAAGAAUGUUAUUGCAUUACAGCUGCUUAAAAAGUUAUUGUAGAUCAGCUGAAGUACUGUAAUUGUCUGUCCAUGCACUUAAGCUUGCCCAGAGUGAGGUAAACAUCCAUGUGCUCCAGGGAUUACUCAUUAAAUGAAGCAUUAUGUUUUAGUACUGAGAAGUCUCUGCUGUCCUUCCAUUAUUUUCUAAUUGAAGAUAAAUUUACUCUGCAUAAGAGUAAUUUUAAUUAUGUGGUUUACUGUGUGUAUGUCUUGGAUAUUUUUCAAUUGCUUAUGCAGACUGUAGACAAACACAUACAUGUGUGUGCACACGACAUUUUCCCUGCUAUAAUUAGGUAUUUCUGGCACUUUGCAAUAGCAGGAUCAAAGCCAAAUUGUAGCUACCUUUGGAAAAUCUUAAAAGUAGCUGUAAUUGAAAAAGGAGGUGUACUUUUCUGGUUUAAAACUUAAUAAGAUUUUUUUUUUUUAUUUUUUCCAGAAAGUGUAAUGUUUUCUGUCAUCAUUUUAAUGUUAGCUUUUGAUUAAAAAAGUUGUGGAAAUUUUGAA
rnacentral:lncRNA from 1 species